ACCUACCCGAGCCCGAAAUCGGGACCGGUAGGAGUAAAAGACAAAGAAGAGUUCGAGAGGCCAACCGGCGGUUUCCAGAGCCGGAGCCGGAAAGGCGACGACGGCGACGAGAACAAAGACGAACAAGGAGGAGAAGGGGAGGGCAAAAGGACCCGAGGAUAUAAGCAGGAGGAGAGAGAGUUGGAGAGGAGGAAAGAAGGAGAUAAUGUC